rnacentral:rRNA from 1 species
GAUGAACGCUGGCGGCGUGCUUAAUACAUGCAAGUCGAACGGAAAGGCCCUGCUUUUGUGUGGUUCUCGAGUGGCGAACGGGUGAGUAACACGUGAGUAACCUCCCCUUGACUUUGUGGUAACUUCUGGAGACUGGGGCUAAUACCGGGUAUAAGCUUCUGCUGCAUGUUGGUGGUUGGUAAGUUCCGGCGUUUGUGGAUGGACUCGAUGGUUAUCCGCUUGUUGGUGGGGUAGUGGCUUUCCAAGGCUUUGACGGCUAGGCGGCCUGGGAGGGUGGCCGGCGACAUUGGGACUGAGAUACGGACCAGACUCCUACGGGCGGCAACAGUGGGGAAUAUUGCAGAAUGGGGGGACGCCUGAUGCGGCAACGCCGCGUGCGGGAUGCCGGCCUUCGGGUUGUAAACCGAUUUCGCCUGUGAUGAAGCGUGAGUGACGGUAAUGGGUAAAGAAGCCACGGCUAACUACGUG